UACGUAGGGUGCAAGCGUUGUCCGGAAUUAUUGGGCGUAAAGAGCGCGCAGGCGGUCGUUCAAGUCGAGUGUGAAAGCCCCCGGCUCAACUGGGGAGGGUCACUCGAUACUGAUCGACUUGAAGGCAGGAGAGGGAAGCGGAAUUCCCGGUGUAGUGGUGAAAUGCGUAGAUAUCGGGAGGAACACCAGUGGCGAAGGCGGCUUCCUGGCCUGUUCUUGACGCUGAGGCGCGAAAGCUAGGGGAGCAAACGGG
rnacentral:rRNA from 1 species